AAAAACAAAACCCAUAUAUAUCACCACCAAAACUAUAUGUUGCAAUUCAAGCACAUCACUAAGGUUCACCGACUUGAAACCAGAGGAACAAAUAUACCCAAGUUUUCCUUCAAUUUUUGUCCAUUUGAUAAUCUACCAGAAAAAGAUACUUUUGUAAAACCACUUCAAGAUAUAAUAGGAGUCAUUAGCCACGUUGGGCCAUUUGAUUAUGCAAGUCAGACAUCUACAAAUAAACUCAGGAAAAUCAAAAUUCGAAACCUAGAUGAACAGACACAAGAAAUACGUCUUUGGGGCCACCAUGGUGAAACAUUUGAUGAAGAAGUUGUACUCAAAA